rnacentral:rRNA from 1 species
AGAGUUUGAUCCUGGCUCAAGAUGAACGCUGGCGGCGUGCUUAACACAUGCAAGUCGAACGGGGGCGUGAUGUGCGAGAGGGAUAGUUUACUAGACUUCAAACUUUUCACGCCCUAGUGGCGGACGGGUGAGUAACGCGUGGGUAACCUGCCAUAUACAGGGGGAUAACACUUAGAAAUAGGUGCUAAUACCGCAUAAGCGCACAGGGGCGCAUGCCCCGGUGUGAAAAACUCCGGUGGUAUAUGAUGGACCCGCGUCUGAUUAGUCAGUUGGCAGGGUAACGGCCUACCAAAGCGACGAUCAGUAGCCGGCCUGAGAGGGCGGACGGCCACAUUGGGACUGAGACACGGCCCAAACUCCUACGGGAGGCAGCAGUGGGGGAUAUUGCACAAUGGGGGAAACCCUGAUGCAGCGACGCCGCGUGAGUGAAGAAGUAUUUCGGUAUGUAAAGCUCUAUCAGCAGGGAAGAAAAUGACAGUACCUGACCAAGAAGCCCCGGCUAACUACGUGCCAGCAGCCGCGGUAAUACGUAGGGGGCAAGCGUUAUCCGGAUUUACUGGGUGUAAAGGGAGCGUAGACGGUUAUGUAAGUCUGGAGUGAAAGCCCGGGGCCCAACCCCGGGACUGCUUUGGAAACUGUGUAACUGGAGUACAGGAGGGGCAGGCGGAAUUCCUGGUGUAGCGGUGAAAUGCGUAGAUAUCAGGAGGAACACCGGCGGCGAAGGCGGCCUGCUGGACUGAAACUGACGUUGAGGCUCGAAAGCGUGGGGAGCAAACAGGAUUAGAUACCCUGGUAGUCCACGCCGUAAACGAU